GACGAACGCUGGCGGCGCGCCUAACACAUGCAAGUCGAACGAGCGAGAGAGAGCCUGCUUUCUCGAGCGAGUGGCGAACGGGUGAGUAACGCGUGAGGAACCUGCCUCAAAGAGGGGGACAACAGUUGGAAACGACUGCUAAUACCGCAUAAGCCCACGACCCGGCAUCGGGUAGAGGGAAAAGGAGCAAUCCGCUUUGAGAUGGCCUCGCGUCCGAUUAGCUAGUUGGUGAGGUAAUGGCCCACCAAGGCGACGAUCGGUAGCCGGACUGAGAGGUUGAACGGCCACAUUGGGACUGAGACACGGCCCAGACUCCUACGGGAGGCAGCAGUGGGGAAUAUUGCACAAUGGGGGAAACCCUGAUGCAGCGACGCCGCGUGGAGGAAGAAGGUCUUCGGAUUGUAAACUCCUGUUGUUGAGGAAGAUAAUGACGGUACUCAACAAGGAAGUGACGGCUAACUACGUGCCAGCAGCCGCGGUAAAACGUAGGUCACAAGCGUUGUCCGGAAUUACUGGGUGUAAAGGGAGCGCAGGCGGGAAGACAAGUUGGAAGUGAAAUCCAUGGGCUCAACCCAUGAACUGCUUUCAAAACUGUUUUUCUUGAGUAGUGCAGAGGUAGGCGGAAUUCCCGGUGUAGCGGUGGAAUGCGUAGAUAUCGGGAGGAACACAGUGGCGAAGGCGGCCUACUGGGCACCAACUGACGCUGAGGCUCGAAAGUGUGGGUAGCAAACAGGAUUAGAUACCCUGGUAGUCCACACCGUAACGAUGAUUACUAGGUGUUGGAGGGAUGACCCCUUCAGUGCCGCAGUUAACACAUAAGUAAUCCACCUGGGGAGUACGACCGCAAGGUUGAAACUCAAAGGAAUUGACGGGGGCCCGCACAAGCAGUGGAGUAUGUGGUUUAAUUCGACGCAACGCGAAGAACCUUACCAAGUCUUGACAUCCUGCGACGGUGCUGGAAACAGUACUUUCCUUCGGGACGCAGAGACAGGUGGUGCAUGGUUGUCGUCAGCUCGUGUCGUGAGAUGUUGGGUUAAGUCCCGCAACGAGCGCAACCCUUAUGGUCAGUUACUACGCAAGAGGACUCUGGCCAGACUGCCGUUGACAAAACGGAGGAAGGUGGGGAUGACGUCAAAUCAUCAUGCCCUUUAUGACUUGGGCUACACACGUACUACAAUGGCGUUAAACAAAGAGAAGCAAGACCGCGAGGUGGAGCAAAACUCAGAAACAACGUCCCAGUUCGGACUGCAGGCUGCAACUCGCCUGCACGAAGUCGGAAUUGCUAGUAAUCGCAGAUCAGCAUGCUGCGGUGAAUACGUUCCCGGGCCU
rnacentral:rRNA from 1 species